AUCAGCUUGUUGGUGAGGUAAUGGCUCACCAAGGCGUCGACGGGUAGCCGGCCUGAGAGGGUGACCGGCCACACUGGGACUGAGACACGGCCCAGACUCCUACGGGAGGCAGCAGUGGGGAAUAUUGCACAAUGGGCGGAAGCCUGAUGCAGCAACGCCGCGUGAGGGAUGACGGCCUUCGGGUUGUAAACCUCUUUUAGCAGGGAAGAAGCGAGAGUGACGGUACCUGCAGAAAAAGCACCGGCUAACUACGUGCCAGCAGCCGCGGUAAUACGUAGGGUGCAAGCGUUAUCCGGAAUUAUUGGGCGUAAAGAGCUCGUAGGCGGUCUGUCGCGUCUGCUGUGAAAUUCCGAGGCUCAACCUCGGGCUUGCAGUGGGUACGGGCAGACUAGAGUGCGGUAGGGGA
rnacentral:rRNA from 1 species